UGAAACUCGCUUUCCAAGCUUCAUGCUAUUCUAUAGAACUCAAAGAUCAAUUAAGAAUAACUCAAUUCUUAUUAGCUCAAAAAAAUAUCUCAAAACUCAAGCUCUCACAAUGAUUUCUCAAAGCUCAUAAAGUUAUGUCACAAGUUGACAUCUUCUUAUAUAGAUCUCAAUAUUUUCUAAACACAUUAGUAAAACUAAACUUAUCCUA
rnacentral:lncRNA from 1 species